rnacentral:misc_RNA from 1 species
GAUGAAGAACGCAGCGAAAUGUGAUAAGUAAUGUGAAUUGCAAAUUCAGUGAAUCAUCGAGUCUUUGAACGCACAUUGCGCCCCCUGGUAUUCCGGGGGGCAUGCCUGUCCGAGCGUCAUUGCUGCCCUCAAGCACGGCUUGUGUGUUGGGCCCCGUCCUCCGAUCCCGGGGGACGGGCCCGAAAGGCAGCGGCGGCACCGCGUCCGGUCCUCGAGCGUAUGGGGCUUUGUCACCCGCUCUGUAGGCCCGGCCGGCGCUUGCCGAUCAACCCAAAUUUUUAUCCAGGUUGACCUCGGAUCAGGUAGGGAUACCCGCUGAACUUAAGCAUAUCAAUAAGCGGAGGA